AGCGAACGCUGGCGGCAGGCCUAACACAUGCAAGUCGAGCGAGAAAAUUCCUUCGGGAAUGAUUAAAGCGGCGGACGGGUGCGUACAACAUGGAUAACCUACCCUAAGGUCUGGGAUAACCUCGGGAAACCGAAGCUAAUACCGGAUAAGACCACAUUAUCUGCGGAUAAAGGGGUAAAAGUUUUUCGCCUUUGGAUGGGUCCAUGCUCCAUCAGGUUGUUGGUGAGGUAAAAGCUCACCAAGCCGAAGACGGAUAGCCGGCCUUAGCGGGUGAUCGGCCACACGGGGACUGAGACACGGCCCCGACUCCUACGGGAGGCAGCAGUGGGGAAUAUUGGGCAAUGGGCGAAAGCCUGACCCAGCCAUGCCGCGUGAAGGAUGAAGGCCUU
rnacentral:rRNA from 1 species